UACGGAGGGUGCAAGCGUUGUCCGGAUUUAUUGGGUUUAAAGGGUGCGUAGGCGGCUUAUUAAGUCAGUGGUGAAAGACUAUUGCUUAACAAUGGCAGUGCCAUUGAUACUGGUAGGCUUGAGUACAGCUGAGGCAGACGGAAUGGAUGGUGUAGCGGUGAAAUGCAUAGAUACCAUCAAGAACACCGAUUGCGAAGGCAGUUUACUAAACUUUAACUGACGCUGAGGCACGAAAGCGUGGGGAGCAAAC
rnacentral:rRNA from 1 species